UACAGAUACUGCAAGCGUUAUUCGGAUUCACUGGGCGUAAAGGGUGCGCAGGCGGCCGUGUGUGUGAGGCGUGAAAGCCCGGGGCUUAACCCCGGAAUUGCACCUCAAACUACAUGGCUAGAGCAUUGGAGAGGGUAGCGGAAUUCACGGUGUAGCAGUGAAAUGCGUAGAUAUCGUGAGGAACACCAGAGGCGAAGGCGGCUACCUGGACAAUUGCUGACGCUCAGGCACGAAAGCGUGGGGAGCAAACAGG
rnacentral:rRNA from 1 species